rnacentral:rRNA from 1 species
UACAGAGGUCCCAAGCGUUGUUCGGAUUCAUUGGGCGUAAAGGGUGCGUAGGUGGCGCCGUAAGUGGGGUGUGAAAUCUCGGGGCUUAACUCCGAAACUGCAUUCCAUACUGCGGUGCUUGAGGACUGGAGAGGAGACUGGAAUUUACGGUGUAGCAGUGAAAUGCGUAGAGAUCGUAAGGAAGACCAGUGGCGAAGGCGGGUCUCUGGACAGUUCCUGACACUGAGGCACGAAGGCCAGGGGAGCAAACGGG